CUGAUUUGCCUCCAUUUGCUCCCUUAGUUCAGAAGCCGAGACUUGAAAGCUGUCCUGUGGAGGAUAAAAGACACAUCAGCUGGCUGAACAUUUGUAAGAGCCUCAUAAAGCGACAUCUUCAGCAUGAAGCAGCUGACUGGAGCCAGACGCAGAAUUAUUUCAACACCUGUUGAAACAAGCUGUCUUGGGUCAGGUCCAACCUGUUGGUAACAGCUGGGUGCUGGAGCACAGAAUCAGCCAUGGCAGGGACCAGAAAUGCCACCAAAGUCAUUGCAAGGGACAGAGUUAAGACUCCCUUCCUGGCCCAAAGCCUCACUUCAUCCUACACUAAGGCUGGAAGAGAAACAGUCAAACCUGAGAAAGCAAAGAUCUUGUGGAAUAACGAGGAAUGGAAAAUGCAGCCAAAACCAGGGAACUUUGUCUUUCCAAGCGAGCAUAUCACAGCCACCAUACGUUCCUCAUCAGGACAUUGCUGGAGUUUAAAAUGCUGAACUGGGACAGCCAAGUCUUUAAAGGGGAGGAGGGAGCUGACUCUGCUGUAGGAGACAAAUGAAAUGUGAGUGAUGUCCCCCUUCCCACACCACUGCAGGAAGAUUUUACCUAGUGCAGCACUUUUCCAGCAGCUGUCUGGGAACAGACUCAGUCCUUGGGUGCCUUGGUUGGCUCCCUUGCUUCUGGGGCUGCCUCUGGUGCUGCAAGCAAGGCCUCUGAUAAGAACAUUACUGAGAGGAACCGCAUUAUUGAUUCUAUAUUCAUUGAAGUUGUUAUGAAGAUUCCCAGAUGUCAACACCACAAGAUGGAAACCACUUCUAAAUGUACAGCUUGAGUGAAGAAUACACGGACAGAGAUUAUUUAAAAUACGCUUGGGAUGAUCAGCACAUCCAGUUUUAGAAAAUGUAUUUUUGGUGAAGCAUUAAUAUUUAAUUAUACUACAGAGAAGCUGUUUGAACACUUAGAAAGAAUUGGGCCGUUUUUAGAGGCCGUACUCCUGCUUAAAUGUUGCAUCCAAUGGACAGUGGUUCUUUUUGCCACAUGUACAGCAUUUACCGUGUUCCAUAACACAACUUAUCUGAUACCCUCGGGAUGUGAUGCAAGAUAGCACAUGACCAUUCUGAAGCCUGUGGUGCACAUAAUGCUAUCUUCCAGCCAGGCAAAAAUCUCCAUCAACUGCAAGAGGGGCCAAUAAGGAGCAUCUCAGUUAUCCUCACCUGAAUUCAGAAACUUCCUUCACUGUAAAUCCCACUCAGACAAAAGAAAGCAGCAAAUUGUCAAUUGGGUUGCGGGGCAUUUUUUACCAGUGCCAGUCUGUCCUUGGAAAAAAUGGCCUAUUCUGGUUUUCAAUGUUUUUAGUUAAAAUUUGUCUCAUUUGAGGAUCAUCUGAUGCCCGUUGUCUGACAACUCUUAGAAAAAAUAAAUAUUCAUAUAAUUCUAUUCUUAAGUUUCGAGCAAGGUUGACAAUUGUAUAUUUACAAAACAAACAACCACAAAACCCACAAACCCACCCACACAAACCACACAUACAAGCACACCGAGAGCAUGAACC
ensembl:lncRNA